rnacentral:rRNA from 1 species
CAAACUAAAGAUGGCGACCGGCGCACGGGUGAGUAACACGUAUCCAACCUGCCGAUAACUCGGGGAUAGCCUUUCGAAAGAAAGAUUAAUAUCCGAUAGUAUAUUAAAACCGCAUGGUUUUACUAUUAAAGAAUUUCGGUUAUCGAUGGGGAUGCGUUCCAUUAGUUUGUUGGCGGGGUAACGGCCCACCAAGACUACGAUGGAUAGGGGUCCUGAGAGGAAGGUCCCCCACAUUGGAACUGAGACACGGUCCAA